GGGUUGUGAGGUUAAGCGACUAAGCGUACACGGUGGAUGCCCUGGCAGUCAGAGGCGAUGAAGGGCGUGCUAAUCUGCGAUAAGCGCCGGUAAGGUGAUAUGAACCGUUAUAACCGGCGAUACCCGAAUGGGGAAACCCAGUGUGACUCGUCACACUAUCAUUAACUGAAUCCAUAGGUUAAUGAGGCGAACCGGGGGAACUGAAACAUCUAAGUACCCCGAGGAAAAGAAAUCAACCGAGAUUCCCCCAGUAGCGGCGAGCGAACGGGGAGGAGCCCAGAGCCUGAAUCAGCAUGUGUGUUAGUGGAAGCGUCUGGAAAGGCGCGCGAUACAGGGUGACAGCCCCGUACACAAAAGCGCAUGUGCUGUGAGCUCGAUGAGUAGGGCGGGACACGUGGUAUCCUGUCUGAAUAUGGGGGGACCAUCCUCCAAGGCUAAAUACUCCUGACUGACCGAUAGUGAACCAGUACCGUGAGGGAAAGGCGAAAAGAACCCCGGCGAGGGGAGUGAAAAAGAACCUGAAACCGUGUACGUACAAGCAGUGGGAGCCCCACCACCAAAGCAUUCUCUGGUGUUGAAGGCCCUGCAAAGCAGCAUCGCGGUGGUGGAGCGUCGUUUGCGACGCCCAACACACAAAACAAGCGGUGAGUGCUUUGGGGUGGGGUGACUGCGUACCUUUUGUAUAAUGGGUCAGCGACUUAUAUUCUGUAGCAAGGUUAACCGUAUAGGGGAGCCGUAGGGAAACCGAGUCUUAACCGGGCGUUAAGUUGCAGGGUAUAGACCCGAAACCCGGUGAUCUAGCCAUGGGCAGGUUGAAGGUUGGGUAACACUAACUGGAGGACCGAACCGACUAAUGUUGAAAAAUUAGCGGAUGACCUGUGGCUGGGGGUGAAAGGCCAAUCAAACCGGGAGAUAGCUGGUUCUCCCCGAAAGCUAUUUAGGUAGCGCCUCGUGAACUCAUCUCCGGGGGUAGAGCACUGUUUCGGCUAGGGGGCCAUCCCGGCUUACCAACCCGAUGCAAACUGCGAAUACCGGAGAAUGUUAUCACGGGAGACACACGGCGGGUGCUAACGUCCGUCGUGAAGAGGGAAACAACCCAGACCGCCAGCUAAGGUCCCAAAGUCAUGGUUAAGUGGGAAACGAUGUGGGAAGGCCCAGACAGCCAGGAUGUUGGCUUAGAAGCAGCCAUCAUUUAAAGAAAGCGUAAUAGCUCACUGGUCGAGUCGGCCUGCGCGGAAGAUGUAACGGGGCUAAACCAUGCACCGAAGCUGCGGCAGCGACACUGUGUGUUGUUGGGUAGGGGAGCGUUCUGUAAGCCUGCGAAGGUGGCCUGUGAGGGUUGCUGGAGGUAUCAGAAGUGCGAAUGCUGACAUAAGUAACGAUAAAGCGGGUGAAAAGCCCGCUCGCCGGAAGACCAAGGGUUCCUGUCCAACGUUAAUCGGGGCAGGGUGAGUCGACCCCUAAGGCGAGGCCGAAAGGCGUAGUCGAUGGGAAACGGGUUAAUAUUCCCGUACUUGGUGUUACUGCGAAGGGGGGACGGAGAAGGCUAUGUUGGCCGGGCGACGGUUGUCCCGGUUUAAGCGUGUAGGUGUGUGUUCCAGGUAAAUCCGGUUCACUUUAACACUGAGGCGUGAUGACGAGGCACUACGGUGCUGAAGCAACAAAUGCCCUGCUUCCAGGAAAAGCCUCUAAGCAUCAGGUAACAUCAAAUCGUACCCCAAACCGACACAGGUGGUCAGGUAGAGAAUACCAAGGCGCUUGAGAGAACUCGGGUGAAGGAACUAGGCAAAAUGGUGCCGUAACUUCGGGAGAAGGCACGCUGACACGUAGGUGAAGUGAUUUACUCACGGAGCUGAAGUCAGUCGAAGAUACCAGCUGGCUGCAACUGUUUAUUAAAAACACAGCACUGUGCAAACACGAAAGUGGACGUAUACGGUGUGACGCCUGCCCGGUGCCGGAAGGUUAAUUGAUGGGGUCAGCGCAAGCGAAGCUCCUGAUCGAAGCCCCGGUAAACGGCGGCCGUAACUAUAACGGUCCUAAGGUAGCGAAAUUCCUUGUCGGGUAAGUUCCGACCUGCACGAAUGGCGUAAUGAUGGCCAGGCUGUCUCCACCCGAGACUCAGUGAAAUUGAACUCGCUGUGAAGAUGCAGUGUACCCGCGGCAAGACGGAAAGACCCCGUGAACCUUUACUAUAGCUUGACACUGAACAUUGAGCCUUGAUGUGUAGGAUAGGUGGGAGGCUUUGAAGUGUGGACGCCAGUCUGCAUGGAGCCGACCUUGAAAUACCACCCUUUAAUGUUUGAUGUUCUAACGUGGACCCGUGAUCCGGGUUGCGGACAGUGUCUGGUGGGUAGUUUGACUGGGGCGGUCUCCUCCUAAAGAGUAACGGAGGAGCACGAAGGUUGGCUAAUCCUGGUCGGACAUCAGGAGGUUAGUGCAAUGGCAUAAGCCAGCUUGACUGCGAGCGUGACGGCGCGAGCAGGUGCGAAAGCAGGUCAUAGUGAUCCGGUGGUUCUGAAUGGAAGGGCCAUCGCUCAACGGAUAAAAGGUACUCCGGGGAUAACAGGCUGAUACCGCCCAAGAGUUCAUAUCGACGGCGGUGUUUGGCACCUCGAUGUCGGCUCAUCACAUCCUGGGGCUGAAGUAGGUCCCAAGGGUAUGGCUGUUCGCCAUUUAAAGUGGUACGCGAGCUGGGUUUAGAACGUCGUGAGACAGUUCGGUCCCUAUCUGCCGUGGGCGCUGGAGAACUGAGGGGGGCUGCUCCUAGUACGAGAGGACCGGAGUGGACGCAUCACUGGUGUUCGGGUUGUCAUGCCAAUGGCACUGCCCGGUAGCUAAAUGCGGAAGAGAUAAGUGCUGAAAGCAUCUAAGCACGAAACUUGCCCCGAGAUGAGUUCUCCCUGAGACUUAGAGUCUCCUGAAGGAACGUUGAAGACGACGACGUUGAUAGGCCGGGUGUGUAAGCGCAGCGAUGCGUUGAGCUAACCGGUACUAAUGAACCGUGAGGCUUAACCUUACAACGCCGAAG
rnacentral:rRNA from 1 species